rnacentral:rRNA from 1 species
AACGUAGGUUCCGAGCGUUAUCCGGAUUUACUGGGCGUAAAGCGUGUUCAGGCGGCUUCGCAAGUCGGGCAUGAAAUCUCUCGGCUCAACCGGGAGGGGCUGCCCGAUACUGCGGGGCUUGAGGGCAGUAGAGGGUGGUGGAAUUCCGGGUGUAGUGGUGAAAUGCGUAGAGAUCCGGAGGAACACCAGUGGCGAAAGCGGCCACCUGGACUGUACCUGACGCUCAAACACGAAAGCUAGGGGAGCGAACGGG